rnacentral:rRNA from 1 species
UACGUAGGGUGCGAGCGUUGUCCGGAAUUAUUGGGCGUAAAGCGCACGUAGGCGGAUUUGUAAGUCAGGGGUGAAAUCCCGGGGCUCAACCUCGGAACUGCCUUUGAUACUGCAAAUCUCGAGUCCGGAAGAGGUGAGUGGAAUUCCUAGUGUAGAGGUGAAAUUCGUAGAUAUUAGGAAGAACACCAGUGGCGAAGGCGGCUCACUGGUCCGGUACUGACGCUGAGGUGCGAAAGCGUGGGGAGCAAACAGG